AAGUACUAUGAAAUCUAAAGAACUGAAUAUUGAUAGCUAUCGAGCUUGAGAAUUCCAGGAGUGAAGAAUUUCUGAAAAAUAGUUGAAACAACACAGGCCUAGGCUUAGGUUGAGACUGGAGAGUCCAACCCUGAUGAGGAAGAGUACUAACAUCCAUUAUUUUAUCCUAGGCCACUCCUGACUCAGCAAAAUGAGGGUGCAUGAUAUAUUGAGAUGAGCUCCCAAGAAGGAUUUUUUUUUUUUUUUUUAACCUUUAUUAUAUUUUUGAAAGAGUGCAUAAGCAGGGCAGGGGCAGAGAGGGAGACACAGAAUCAGAAGCAGGCUCCAGGCUCUGAGUUGUCAGCACAGAACCAGACGCAGGGCUUGAACCCACAAACGGUGGGAUCAUCACCUGAGCCGAAGUGGGACGCUUAACCAACUGAGCCACCCAGGUGCCCCAAGAAGGACAUAUUUCUAAGGUAAUGGUCCAAGAGGUCACCAGCUGUCCUCAGGAAUGCUGUGCUCACCAAUACCUACCUUCAAGGCCUCACUCAUCCCUCGGCCAAUCACAAGAGUCUGCACACCCUUCUUAACAACUUCCUCCACAUCUGCAGGCUGCACACCAGGAGAAUGCUGGAUAUGGAAAGAGAAAGUAUACCAGCUACCUGUUAUUUUAAGCUUUCUUUGCAGUUGGGAUUCUUGUGGGAUUCAUUCAUUCAUCCAUUAAUUUAUUGAGAAAAUGUUUACUGAGUUUUAUUCUGUGCCAAGCAUCAUUCAGGGCCCUCAAAAUAAUAGAAGAUUCAAUGCUAAAUCUAGUGAAAAAUAUAGAAGACUAAAAAGAAAUUUCAAUACUUUUAUCAGUGCUAAAGGAAGUUAGUUCAGGGUGUUGUGAGAACAUAGAGAAAGAGCACCUAAUUCAGACUUGGGGAGUCGGGACAAGUGGUCACUGAAGGCAUCCCAGAGGAGGUAACAUGUAAGCUGAGACCUACACGACACACAAGAAUUAGCCAGGUAACAGGAAAUCAGUGGAACAAAGCAUUCUAAGUAGAGGGAAUAGCACGUACAAAGGCUCAGAGGAAAGAAAAACAUGGAGAACUAAAGGUCAUUCGUAUGACUGGUGUGUCACAGGUGAGAGUAGAAAGGGGGGUAGGAGAAGAAAGCACCUGCACACUAAGCCAAAAUUUGGACUGUGGAAAGACUUCAAGAGAAUUUACCUUUUUCUGAGCUCCCUUCCCACUUAUGGAAAACUUACAUUGAUGCUUUAAAACCUGUCACUACAUAAAGUCUUCCCAGAGUUUCCCAGGGAUAUUUAAGUUAAGAUGUUUAGUGACAUUAAUCCAACAUUAAAGGAUGGUGGCUUCUGAACUGCUUCCACAUCAGCAAAUGGGACAGUGGGAGUUUGAUAAAUACGAGCACAAUUACUGGGCUUCACGUAUUCUGUAUCUUCACAGGGAUGACACUCUCAGCACUGAAGAUCAGUGACCAAAGCCGUCCUUCCCUGAGUUGUCUAUCUUUAUCCUUUCAUUCAGUCAACAGAUAUUUACUGUGCACUUACUCUGCACCAGGCUCUACACUCAACAUUGGAAAUACUGAGAUGAACCAAAUAGUUAAUGGAGGAGUUUUAGUCAGGCAAAGUUAGUGAAUGUGUGGAAGUAGUUACAGUAGGAUGAGAUAAAUAGAGUUGAGAGGAUAUCAGAAGAGAGGGAAUAAAUACGAGUGGGAAGCGGUCAUAAAUGACAUGCUGUUUUAAUUGGGUCUUAAAGUAUGAGCAGAAAGAAGUAUGCCUUGAUGCAGUGGUUGUGGAAGGGGUACCCAAUCAUAGUUGGAGAUGGUACAAGGAAAGAACUGCCAAAAAUAUCAUGAAGACAAGUGUACCAAAGAAAGAAAGGUUUUUCAAUUUAGAAAGAUGAUAGAAGAGAUAGGAUUGAAAUUUAUAUAUACUUUUUAAGGUAUAAAGAGAGCAAAUCAGUCUUUUCAUUAAAUCCUGAAAUAAUAUCCUAUAUGUUUAUAGUUACAGUUUUCAUAAUACAGCUGUAGAAAUUACUUCACAUGAUCUAUGUAGUCAUCCUAUAAAGUAGCACUAAAACACCCAUUCUCAUUUUAUAGAUAAGGAAACUGAAGCUCACAAAAUAUAUACACAUUGGCCAAGAUGACACAAGUUUUAGGUGGUGGAGCUGGGAUUUGAACUGAAACGUGUAACUUUCAGUUUAAUGCAUUUUGUUCGAAUACCAUAAACCAAGGAGCAACUUUCUUGAAGUUUGAAAGAAAUAAGCCUAAUGACCACACACAGUUGUGUUGCUCACUGCAGGUAGAAUAUUUAUUAGUUUAAGUGUGAACCUGAAUCUUCCCUAGAGCAAUCUCUCUCUUUCUGUUUCUGUCUCUCUCACACAAACAGAAGCUAAAAAAUCACAGAAGAGACAGAAUGGAAUAUUUAAAAAUUUUUUUAAUUUUUAAAUGUUUAUUUUUGAAGGAGAGAGAGACAGAGCAUGAGCAGGGGAAGGGCAAAGAGAGGGAGACACAGAAUCCGAAGUAGGCUUCAGGCUCUGAGCUGUCAGCACAGAGCCCAAUGCAGGGCUCGAACUCAUGAGCCAUGAGAUCAUGACCUGAGCUGAAGUUGGACGCCCAACCAACUAAGCCACCCAGGCAUCCCUAAAUUUUUUUUAACAUUUAUUCAUUUUUGAGAGAGUUGAGAGCAGCAGAGGGGCAGAGAGAGGGAGACACAGAUCCGAAGCAGGCUCCAGACUCUGAGCUGUCAGCAAAGCCUGAUGUGGGGCUCGAAUCCACGAAUCAUGAGAUCAUGACCUGAGUCAAAGUUGGACACUUAACCGACUUAGCCACCCAGACAUCCCCAGAAUGGAAUAUUUAACAAAUAGUUGAUUAACGCUGGAAGGAAUGGGAAACAUGAGGUCAAACAAAAAAACAAAUGACAAUUGAAACACUUAGACAUAGCUAUACCGGUGCGCCUGGGUGGCUGCUGCACGUUAGGCUCUGUGCUGACAGCUCAGAGCCUGGAGCCUGCUUCGGAUUCUGUGUCUCCUCCUUUCUUUGCCCCUCUGCUGCUCGCUCUCGCUCUCGCUCUCUCUCUCUCAAAAAUAAACAUAAAAAAUAAAACGUAGCUAUAUCAAUAAUAUUAAGUGGACUAAAGAGUUGAAGGUAAAGAUUGUCUAGAUUAAAAAGCAAGAUCCAACUAAACACUACUUAUAAGGUAUGCACUUUAAAUAAAAAAAACACAGGUUGAAAGUAUAAGGAUGAAAAAACACAUAAACACACAGUAAGAAAAGUGGUGUGGUUAUACUAAUAUCAGAUUAAGUCGACCUAAGAAAUAUUACUACAGGGGCACCUGGGUGGCGCAGUUGGUUAAGCGUCCGACUUCAGCCAGGUCACGAUCUCGCGGUCUGUGAGUUCGAGCCCCGUGUCGGGCUCUGGGCUGAUGGCUCAGAGCCUGGAGCCUGUUUCUGAUUCUGUGUCUCCCUCUCUCUCUGCCCCUCCCCCCGUUCAUGCUCUGUCUCUCUCUGUCCCAAAAAUAAAUAAACGUUAAAAAAAAAAAAAUUAAAAAAAAAAAAAAGAAAUAUUACUACAGAUAAGCGGUGUCAUAUCAUGAUGCUUAAAAGGCCAAUUCAUCAACAAAAAUAUAACAACUCCAAAUCUGUAUACUUAGUAAAAAAGCUACAAAAUGUAAGACAAAAAUAACAACUAAGAGGAGAAACAGACACCACCACCAUAGUUAGAAAUUUUAACAACUCUCUCUCAGUAAUUCUAGAACAAAUAGACAAAAAGUCAAUAAGGAAAUGGAGGAUUUGGGCAACACUAUCAAUUUGUCCUAAUAGACAUUUAUAGGUUACUUCAUGUAACAAUUGCAGAACACAUAUAUAUAUAUAUAUUUUUUUAAUUUUUUAAACGUUUGUUUAUUUGUGUGUGAGAGAGAGACAGCAACAGGAGGGGCAAAAAGAGAGGGAGACCCAGAAUCCAAAGCAGGCUCCAGGCUCUGAGCUGUCAGCACAGAGCAUGAUGCAGGGCUCAAGCCCAUGAACCGUGAAGUUACGACCGGAGUCAAAGUCAGACACUUAACCGACUGAGCCACCCAGGCACCCCAUAAUUUUUUUUUUUAGUAGUAUAGGCAGGUUAUAGAUUAGCAGGAAGAGACCACAUAUAGGCACACAUACAACUCACUGCUUCCUCAUUUAGUUAGCCAAGGAAACAAAACAGAUGCCAAGUCGUUACACCAAGUGGAACCAGAUGCAGUGUAUCUUUGCCGGCUUUCUCCACGGCUCUUGAUUCCUUAUGGGGUGUGCAAGUGCUGCUGACAUCCUUCACCCCGUCAGUGAAUGUUCCAGGGCUGAUAAGGAAGCCAGUCUCUCUCACUAUUACACUUUUAUAUUCAGGCUUAUGUCAUCAGCAUCUUUCUAAGGAGCUGACACUUAAGACUGUAUGAGCUUACAUUUAAGGGACUAUGAAAAGUUGGAACACCUGCAUGUCAAAGAGUGAACCAAACUGGUCGGCAGGAAGGGUAUAUUCCUCAUUUGGGGCGAGGAUGCAGACCUCGGGCCCAGGUGGCUCUGAACGGCACCUCUGCCUCCAGCUUCACUGGUUCUCCACAAAGAUCAGAGGAGACUGGGGGAGGAUAGAUUCUUUUUUUUGUAAAAGUUAUUUCGGUUCAUAAAUUUUUAAAAGGCAAGAUAAAAAGGGAUUUUUUUUCACUUGAUUACAAUGAUUAGUUCUUAAAGAAAUGUAAAAGGAUUAGAUGUGUUUUUAGUUCCAUGGCUCUGAUUAAUCCUAGAACCACCCUGCACCGCAGUUAUGCUAUACAGGACUUAAAAUAAUCUUCUGGGGCAAUAACCAAGGUAAAUAUUUAAUAGAAUUACAAAUCAGGUUGGGGAGCUUCACCUUCCUCAAGUAAAUGCACUUAACUGAAAUAUUGAAAGAUUGCUUCAUCUAACAAAGAAUUGCAUCUACUUUGAGGAGCAUCAUGAUCCCCAGACUCUAAGAGCUCACAUUCUAGUAAAAGGAAACAAGGCCACUGCUCAAAAUCAAGGUCAGUAAAAGUGCAAAACCAUAAUCCUUGGGAGAUUCAGAGACUGAAGACAGCCGCAACCCAUCAGAGUUGCUGGAUCAAUGGAACUCAAGUGACAAAUGUGGCUGCUGUGUGCAAUACUGCAGGCCCAGGGUGUCACGUACAGAGCAGUGAAAGAUAACUCUGCAACAGCCUGUGGAUCCCGGCAUUGGUGGGUGAUUACUCACAGCUUUGUGCAGAGGCCUGUGAUUGGAGCAUCAGUCUGUUAUUGAGGUGUCCUCAACCUGCCACCAGC
rnacentral:lncRNA from 1 species